GAAGCUGACGGAUCACGCCGCGUGAACGAUGAAGGUCUUCGGAUCGUAAAGUUCUGUUGUCAGGGAAGAACAAUGCCGUGCGAAUAGAGCGGCACCUUGACGGUACCUGACGAGGAAGCCCCGGCUAACUACGUGCCAGCAGCCGCGGUAAUACGUAGGGGGCAAGCGUUGUCCGGAAUUAUUGGGCGUAAAGCGCGCGCAGGCGGUUCCUUAAGUCUGAUGUGAAAGCCCACGGCUCAACCGUGGAGGGUCAUUGGAAACUGGGGAACUUGAGUGCAGAAGAGGAGAGUGGAAUUCCACGUGUAGCGGUGAAAUGCGUAGAUAUGUGGAGGAACACCAGUGGCGAAGGCGACUCUCUGGUCUGUAACUGACGCUGAGGAGCGAAAGCGUGGGGAGCGAACAGGAUUAGAUACCCUGGUAGUCCACGCCGUAAACGAUGAGUGCUAGGUGUUAGGGGGUUUCCGCCCCUUAGUGCUGAAGUUAACGCAUUAAGCACUCCGCCUGGGGAGUACGGCCGCAAGGCUGAAAUUCACAAGAUUUGACGGGGGCCCGCACAAGCGGUGGAGCAUGUGGUUU
rnacentral:rRNA from 1 species